CUCUGGCAGGCAGUAGGUACCUGCCACAGUGCAUUGUAGAGUUUCCCCCAGCACAGGGUAACUGCUAAGUCCCGCACAAGUGCAUCACUCCCACAAAGCCCAUCUCCAGACCGAGGCAGGAGCAGCCAGCCCACUUCAGGCACAGCUGUUCUCUCUCGAGGCUCGCCGAACAGGGCUCUGUCUAACAGGGCUCUGUCUGCGCUGGCAGGCAGGGGAGCGGAGCGGGCAGCAGUAGGAGCAGAUGGCACAAUGCCUGGCAAGAUGGCCAGCUGCACGGCGAGCGGCGGACAGACCAUCGCCUCGCGGCAGCUGCGCAGGCACAGCUGGGAUAUCCUGCCUGCAAUAUGGAAACGUGACGUCGAAGGAAGGUUGCCAAACCAGGUUUUACAAAACAUCGUGGACAUCAACUUGGAGGUAAACUUUCACACAAUGCACGAGAACUACAUAAAUGUGAAGCUAUCAGAAGUAUUCUGAUAAUCCCAGGAUUAUGGAGUGCACAGUCAUGGUAGCCAAAGAGAAGCUUAAAAGACCACCUGCAGUCCCAAACCUUCCUGAGGAAAGAUCCUUCUGCCCCCAUGCCAUGAGUUGUUAAGCUUGUGGCUUCUGAAGCCAGCCCACGAGCGCUGAAUUCCCGCUCUGCCUGUUCCCUUCUUCUUCUACCAGGCUAUUUAAUAUAAAUCAGCUCCUGCUCAGACAAGAGCAACUCUUCUACCCAAAACUCUUUCAAGACGUGUUCUUUCUUUUACAUCAAACAUGAUCCUGUAUGUACAAAAAGAAGCAGUGCAGAAGGAAACAUGAGUUCUUAUUUAUAUAUAUAUAUAUUAAACUCUCAAACUGAAAAAAAAAG